CAAUAAGCGGAGGAAAAGAAACCAACAGGGAUUGCCUCAGUAACGGCGAGUGAAGCGGCAACAGCUCAAAUUUGAAAUCUGGCUCUCGGGCCCGAGUUGUAAUUUGGAGAGGAUGCUUUUGGCGCGGUGCCUUCCGAGUUCCUUGGAACAGGACGCCAGAGAGGGUGAGAGCCCCGUACGGUGGGACACCAAGCCUUUGUUAAAGCUCCUUCGACGAGUCGAGUAGUUUGGGAAUGCUGCUCAAAAUGGGAGGUAAAUUUCUUCUAAAGCUAAAUACCGGCCAGAGACCGAUAGCGCACAAGUAGAGUGAUCGAAAGAUGAAAAGCACUUUGAAAAGAGGGUUAAACAGUACGUGAAAUUGUUGAAAGGGAAGCGCCUGUGACCAGACUUGCGCCCCGCGGACCAUCCGGCGUUCUCGCCGGUGCACUCCGCGGGGUGCAGGCCAGCAUCGGUUUUCCUAGGGGGAUAAAGGCCGCGGGAACGUAGCUCUUUCGGGAGUGUUAUAGCCCGCGGUGUCAUGCCCUUGGGGGGACCGAGG
rnacentral:rRNA from 1 species